AGCACCCCUGCGAACAUGGCGCUGAGCAUGCGGGCUGUGCUCUGCACCCUGCGCGGCAGUCCUGUCGCCUGCCACGCCCUGCCCGCCUAGGCCCUGGCAGCUGGGGGUGGGCGCCGUCCGAAAGCUGCGCACGGGACCCGCUUUGCUCUCGCUGUGUAAAUUCACAGAGAAACAUGAUGAUAACAACAGAAAAUGGUAUUGGAACACUGGGAAUCAGCAAUUUUGCACAGGAAGCGUUGGGAGAUGUUUACUGUAGUCUGCCUGAAGUUGGGACAAAAGUGAACAAACAAGAUGAGUUCGGUGCUUUGGAAAGUGUGAAAGCUGCUAGUGAACUCUAUUCUCCUUUAUCAGGAGAAGUAACUGAAAUUAAUGAAACUCUUGGAGAAAAUCCAGGACUUGUAAACAAAUCUUGUUAUGAAGAUGGUUGGCUGAUCAAGAUGACACUGAGUAACCCUUCAGAACUAGAAGAACUUAUGAGUGAAGAAGCAUAUGAGAGAUACAUAAAAUCUAUUGAGGAGUGAAAAUGGAACCCCUAAAUAAACUAGUGUGAAAUAACGCAACCCAGCAGAGUUGUCCUGAAUUAGUAGUGGAUGGAAGACUUAGAAUAGCAACUUUUAGCAUUACCAAUGGGGAUAAAAAACUGUUAACACUGCUAAUGAAAGAAAAUGCCCUGAGGCCGGGCGCGGUGGCUCAAGUCUGUAAUCCCAGCACU